rnacentral:lncRNA from 1 species
GAAAAGCUGCGCAACGGCUUGGAAAAGAGAGGGGGGAGAUUUGCAGAUAAACAUACGGAAAAAGAAAUAUAGGCGAGAAAAUGAGAGGACCUUCUUUUUCGGUUUUUUUUCUCUCAAAUCCUCCUCCAUUUUCUGCCAUAGAAAACCCUUCAACUCUAACGGAACAGAGCUUUAUUUCCACUUCAAAAAUCAGUUGGUAAACAUCACAAAAUUGCCAUCGUACAAGGUCAACCGAGGUCGCCGGCAAAGUUUCCGUUCGUGGUCAGAUUUGCUCUUAGAUCAAGUUCCAUCACUCGGAAGUUUUUUUAUCUGUAUUUCAUUAUCACUAAGGUUCGUAUUUUUACCUACUGUUUCAAUAGGAUUUUUGCUUUAUUUAGCAAAUGUCCUACUUUUCUUGGUCUGCUUGCUUCAGUUGAACAUAGCUGCUGAGAUAUGAGUUUGCAUUUAAUAGAUUUUGGAGUUACAAUAAUUUAAGAAAUAUUAUAUUAUGUUGUUGUUCAACUUCUCUGAUUUUGUAAUAUGCUACAAUAGCUUUGGCAUAUGAGUCUUAAAAUUGGAAAAGCUAAUUAGAGGUUCAUUUCCUUCUCUUAAUGCAUUUUUUGCUCAUGAGUGGAUUAGUAUCAUUUUUUUUCCGUUAAUUAGUAGAUCUUUAGUUGUUCUGUUUCAUUGAAUGAUGGAGUUUGUAUUUCAUUUGCACGAGAGCUGGACCAAAGUUAAUAAAUCAAAGUCAUGCUCAUUUCUUCCAUAACCGAGUAAUUAUUACACUUAGUUAAAUAGCUAAAAUCAUACAUUUCUUCCACAAUAAUUCCAUAUCCAUAAUUCAUGACCUCACAACAAAUCUCAAAACCUUAAGAAAAUAACUUAUGAACAUUCGUAACUUGCUUUAGACGCGAUUAAUAAAUUAUCGUGACUAUGGGUACGGUUUCCGUGAUAUAGUCAUGAUACAUAAUCCCCAAUUCGAGUGUGUGUUUCACGUGACUCGACUAUACAAGUUCAAAUCAAUUAAUAAUAAAAUAAACAUGUUGCAAAUCGCGGGUACGUUUCACGUGGCGCGAUUCGCAAUAUGUACAAAAACAAACGAGUGUGCGACAUCGCGACUUGUUCAAAUAAACUCCAUAAAUACUAAAAGCGGUUAAAUAAAUAAUUAAAAGCGGUUCGAAGAUAAAAUGCACAAUAGGUUUGAAACAUGUAAUAAAUCAUAUAAUUAGGCCAAUUAUUAAUAGUUAAGCGACCGUGCUAAAAUCACAAAACUCGGGAGUACCUUAAACCUUCUCCCGGGUUAACAGAAUUCCUUACCCGGUCUUCUGUGUUCGCGGAUCGUAAAAAUAGAGUCAAUUUUCUCGAUUCGGGAUUUAGAACCCCGUUCCUUAAAAAUAAAACUUCAUGUAUGUGCUUUUAAUGAUUUAUGACUUGCGUGGAUGAUUGGUUCGGGAUUUGAAAGUGUUUGGGUUGAAAUCGGAACACUUGGUUCCUUAAGUUAGCCUUAAAAGGCCAAGUUUAACUUCGGUCAGCAUUUUUAGAAAAUGACUACGGAAUCGGGAUUUGACGAUUCCAAUAGCUCCGUAUGGUGAUUUUUGGACUUAGGAGCGUGUUUGAAAUUUUAUUUGGAAGUCCGUAGUUAAAUUAGACUUGAAAUGGCUAAAACAAGAAAUUAAGUUUGGAAGUUUGAUCGGGGAGUUGACUUUUUGAUAUCGAGGUCGAAAUCCAGUUCUAAAAAUUUUCAUAACUCUGUUAUAUCAUUUAUGUCCUGUGUGCAAAAUUUGAGGUCAAUCGGACUUGAUUUGAUAGGUUCUGACACCGAAUGUAAAAGUUGGAAAUCUUAAGUUUCAUUAAGCUUGAAUUGGAGGAUGAUUCGUGAUUUUAGCGUUGUUUGGUGGAUUUGAGGGUUCGAAUAAGUUCGUAUGAUAUUUUUGGACUUGUCGGUAUAAUUAGUUGAGGUCCCGAGGGGCUCGGGUGAGUUUCGAAUGGCUAACGGAUCACUUUUGGCCUUUGGGAGACUGCUGAUAACGAGUGUGUACACGGACUAAAUGUGAAGGAUUAUGUUUUUAAAUUGUGAAGAUCAUUGUUGCCCAUUAAUUAAAUUAUUAAAUCUUAUUAUAUUCUCCAUCAUUGAUUUGAUUUGUAUACUUAAAAUUUGCUUGAUCUUUUCCUGCUAAUUGUUUUACCUGUUUAGUUGAAACUUGGUUUCUUUUAUUCUGUGCAUUAUUAGAAAUUAAUUUUCUUUAAAUUAAAUAUUAUUAAUAUGAAGUAUUUGACAUUUUAAAUUUGGUAUUAAAGCAACGUAUUAAAUAUUUUAAAAUAUUAUUUUUCUAAAUUAUUUAUUCCUAUAUAUUUUUGUAAGAUUUUUGUACUCAUUGUGAUGGGGUUGUGGGCUCUUUAUUGUGAAAAAAUAUUAUUGAUGAUUUAUGUUGGCAUGAGCCGUGAGCUCUUUAUUGUGGAAAAUAUCGUUGAUUUAUUUUGGCAAAUUGAAAUAUUUGGGCACUUGAGGUGCAAAUUGUGAUAUAUUGUGAUAUUGAUACGCAUGCGGUGGUAUAAGGUCUGGGUAUUGAAACGCAUGCGGUGAGAUAAGAGUGGCUUGAUACACGUGGCUAGUAAGGGGAACUACUAGAAGUCAUGCGGUGUGAUAAGAAUGGCUAAAACGCGGGAUGCUAUUUUGAAAAAAUUAUUUUCUUUAAAAUAAAUUGUGAAGGCUCCCGCGGUGAGAUAAGGAAAUGAGAUAUUGUGAAUUUAUUUAUGAUUUGGGACUACGAGGCGGUACCUCGGUAGUGCCCUUGUUGAUAUUGAUUUAUUGCCAUAGUUGCCUUCGAUUACUUGUUGUGAUUUUCAUAAAGUUGAAAGGAAUUCUGUUUUGAUUCCACGAGAUAUUAUUUGCAAUUAUUUGGUGUCAUUAAAUGUGACAUACUAUUUGAUUCAUUUCCAUAGUCAUUUUAUCUUAUUAAAUUAUUUAAACAUUUUUCCAUGUCAUUAUCUAUUCUCCAGUAGAGCCUGACCUGACCUCGUCAUUACUCUACCGAGGUUAGGCUUGGCACUUACUGGGUACCGCAGUGGUGUACUUAUAGUACGCUUCUGCACAUCUUUUUGUGCAGAUUCAGGUACAUCUUACCAGUCUAGACGUCAGUGAGUUACCUGCGCACGGAGACUUCGAGGUAUAUCUGCCAGCGUCCGCAGACUCUGGAGUCCCCUUCUAUCAUUGUUAUGUUGCUUCCUUAUUUUUCUUUAGACCUUGAUACAUAGAAACAUUGAGAAAUUUUUUUUAGAAGCUUGUGACUUAUUUCUACCGAGUUUUGGGAGUUGUAAUUAUUUGAAUUGUAGUUUAUUUAUUUCAGAUAUUGAUGAUUAUUCUGCAUUAAUAGGCUUACCUAAUCUUAGAGACUAGGUGUCAUCACGACCUCCUACGGAGGAAAUUUGGGGUCGUGACAAUUUUUUGUGGCUAGAUUCGGGACGUUUGGAGGCCGAUUCGAGAGGCAAGGGCAUUGCGG